UGUUUGCAGUAAAUCUUGCUGCUGUUCAUUGUUUGGGUCCACACUGCCUUUAUGAGCUGUAACAUUCACUGUGAAGGUCUGCAGCUUAGCUCCUGAAGCCACUGAGACCACGAACCCACCAGAAGGAAGAAACUCUGAACACAUCCGAACAUCAGAAAGAACAAACUCUGGACACACCGCCUUUAGGAACUGUAACACUGACUGAGAGAGUCCCAGACUUCAUUCUUGAAGUUACAGGGCUUUGACUCUUGGGUCUGAAGAAGGCACCAGCCCCUGCUAAAUUCUGAGCAUUGACACCAGUGGAAGCCUCAUCCUCAGACUUGGAAGAAGGUAACAAUACAAAUGAACUGUUUUUGUGAGACACAGGCCAGAAAUUAAAACUAUUCAAUCCCUCUAGGCCCAGAGACUAUUGCAGAAGUGGUAGGUGUGUGAAGUUAUAAGGGCUGAUUUUGAGGCAUAAGAUUAAUUCAGAG
rnacentral:lncRNA from 1 species